GCGCUUUUUGCCAUAGAUUUUUGUAAUUUUAGCUUUUGUAUUAAAUCUUAUAACAAUUUAUUUUAGUUUUAUUUGUAUUAAUUUAUUUAGUUAAAUGUUUAAAACUACUGCCUUUGAGAUUUGGCGCCAUGAACAGUCAUCGCCCAAGUUAAUUACUUUAAUCAAAGAACUAGAUGAUCAUUUGGCUGGUGGUUUACCUUUGGGUUUGGUUACAGAACUCUGUGGAGCUCCCGGAGCAGGUAAAACUCAAUUUUGUUUGCAGUUAUGUUUAAAUGUUCAAUUUCCCGAGCAUAUGGGUGGUUUGGGCGGCAAAGCUUUUUUCAUAGACACCAAUCAGGACUUUUCACCUUAUCGUUUAAAAGAAUUAGCUGAACACAUGGAAAAUCAUUUCCAACACACCUUAAAGAAACUUUACUCUAACAUGGCCACCACCUCCUCAGCCUUUAAAGAUUUUUGCACUCCACAACUGUUACAAAAUGUUUCUUAUGUCUAUUGUCACGAUUAUGUGGAGUUUAUGUCUACUAUACAUAAUUUUCGUAAUAUUUUUAUAGAUGAUUUAAAAAUUAAACUCAUUAUUAUUGAUUCAUUUUCAUUUUGUCUUCGUCAAUUGGAUGAUGUAAAAAUAAGGACUCGUAUAAAUUAUGAGAUUUUAAAUGAUUUGCAAACUUUGGCCAUGGAAUUUAAUGUGGCGGUAGUUAUUACAAAUGAAUUGACAACGCGUCAUGUAGACAAUCAGUGGUUAGUGGCUCCUGCUCUGGGUGAUUCUCAUACACAUAAAAUUAAUCAACGUUUGUUAUUAAGUCAUGAUGAGGAAAGGGAUUAUCAUGUGGUAAUGGUGGAUAAAUCAGUUUUAUGUGAUAAAAUCUCCAUAGGAUUUAAGAUAAAAUCCAGUGGAAUACGCAGUAUAACAACAUGAGAUUGUAACUUUUAUAGUGACUGUAUAAAAAUCUUACCAACCAAAUGCUUAUAGAGGGGCCGUUUUUGGGUAGCCUUCAUGGGGUAAAUAUCUGCUCAUAUAAUAAUGACGUCAUUUAUUAUUUGCUAUACACACCGGUAUGAAUACUCUUUCGUAUUAUGUGUGCUAGGGAGACGUAUAUGGAGGAAAAGGGGGCAUGAAAUACUUGUACUACAUAACAAUUAAACAGAUUUUUAUAUAUAUUUUUUUUCGUAGAGUAGAGCCGGUAUUGUUUGUAGAUUACUGCUGUGACUGCAAAUGUGUCAGUAUAUUCUCUAAAGUUGAUUGAAAUUAAUAAAACUGCUGGUGCCAGAGAAAAACGUUUCAGUCUUAUAACAAAUUUCAACGCGUUCACAACGUUGCUAUAUACUUGUUAAUUACUGUUAAUUUUUUUAAUUUAAACCAAAAAACCAACUCCCUCCAAAAAAACCAAACAAAAUGAGCUCAGCUGAAUACUAUCCAUUCAAGGUAAAUAUAGAAAUUAAAU